AGAACCUCCCUUAUAUUGGUCAAAAGCAGGACUAAGUGAGAGGCUGUGCAAACCCAGCCCUACUACUGGAGAAAAUAUUUCAAAAGUGGACUUUUCAGGAGUAAAUGGAUUGCUCAGUAGAUAGAGAACCAGGCCUGGAGACAGGAGGACCUGAGUUCCAAUGUUACCUCUACUUUUGCCUUGGAACUUAGUACAGAUUCUAAGACAGAAGUGAGGAGAGAUCAAUAAGGCUCCCAUGAAAGCCAGAGCCACAACACAGAGAUGGAGUGAGUCACAACACGUCAACUCCAAGCAAACUCCCAGGAUCAAACCUGCAGUCUGAGCCCCUGGGUCAGCUAAGGAGGGAGGAGAGAGACACGGAAAGAUCUGAGGAACAGAUGCUCUGCCAGCAGAUGAUUCCUGUGGGGCUUCCCUCUCUCCCUCCCACCUUCUUGACAGACUCAAGACAAAGAGUCCCGUGCUUUCCUGGGCUCAUUAAAUGUUUAUCUGGGACAUUCGGGGAAACAAAGAAAUGGAGAACGAAGGAGACUUUUCCAGAAUCGUCCAGUCGCUGGAUUAUAGCAAAAGGGACACUGGAUUUGGAGUCAGAGGCUUCCAGUCCUUAUUUUUUCUGUCAUUCUCCGAAUGACCUUGGCGAAGACACUUUGGAAACUUUAACCUCAGCUAGGGCUAGUAGAUGGGGUCUGUAGUUAGGAAGAACCGAGUUCAAAUCCAAUCUCAGACACUUAUUAACUGUGUGAGCCUGGUUGAAUCAUUUCACCCCCUUUGCCUCAGUUUCCUCAUCUGUAAAAUAGAUGGAGAAGGAAACAGAAAACUACUCCAAUAUUUUUGCCAAGAAAGCCCUGAAAGGGUUCACAAAGAGCUGAACAUGAAUGAAAAUUACUGAACAAUUCUUCCUCUGAAAAAUGAGAGCAUUGAACUAGAUGGCUUCUGAGAUCCUUGAAAGACUAUAAGGAUACUGAGAAACAAUGAUUAGGGAAGAGUGCAUUUUAGGCAUGGCAGACAAUUUGAGCAAAUGCAUAGAUAUGUAGGAGACUAAUGCCUGUUUCAAAGAAUAGCUAGUUAUCCAGUUUAGAUAAAAUGUAGAAAAUGAAGAUGAAAAGAGAGCAUGGCAGCUAGAUAGCCACCUCAGAGCCUGACUCCAGUCUCAGACCCUUUUAGCUGUGUGAUCCUGGGUAGGUCACUUAAUCUCUUCCUACCUCAGUUUCCUCAACUAUAAAGUGAGGUUAAUAAUAGCACCUGCCUUCCAGGGUUGUUGUGAGGAAAAAACAUAAUAAUGAUAAUUAUUGACAUAAUAAUUAUUAUGAUUAUAUAUAUAUAAAUAAUAAUUAAUGACAUAAUAAUGGUAAAGAGGUUAGUACAGAGCCUAGCACACAGUAGGCAUCUAAUCAAUGUUUGUUUCCUUCCUUCUCCUAAAACCCCACAUAGUAGGGUUCAUAUGUUAGGAUCAUAGAAUCACACAUUUGGAGCCUGAAAGAGGAUUGAAGUCUUUUAUUAUAGCCCCUCAUUCAGUGGAUACAGUAACAAAGAUCCAGAAAGUUUAAGUGAGGUGCCCAUUGUCAAACAGCUGGUAAACAGUACUGGUGGAAUUUGAACCCAGUGCCUCUGACUCCCAAUGCAGCAGUCCUUCAAUGUGGGAAUUGCUAAAGGGUCUAUAAAUCAGAAGAGUGCAUGAUCUGCUAUGUGUAUCAUUCAUUUUUCCUUUUCUUGAAAUAGCCUUUAACUGAUCCUGAAUAAAGCCUGGGAGGUGGUCUAAACAGUCUCUAAAGGACCUUUACUUCAGGGUCCCUUCCCAGUUUCAGAGAUGCUCAGUGCCUCAGAUGAAAAUAACACCACUGGAAAUGGAAACCUCAAAAUGUAGCAGAGGAAUCCAACCCAAAACUGGUAAAGGUUCUAAAGCUUGUAAACAACAACAAAAUGAAGAUGUCCAGAGGAAGGAUGGCACAAAAGACAGUUCUUGGCAGUGGAACUUUCCUACAAACCCUGAAAUUUAGUAUCCACUUCUCCAGUACCUUCAGAGGUGGUGCAGUGGACAAACUGAUGGACCUAGAGUCAAGAGACUCAUAUUCCUGAGUUCAAAUUUGGCCUCAGACACGUAUGAGUUAUAUGACGAGGGCAAGUCAUUUUAACCUGUUUGCCUCAGUUUCCUCAUUUGUAAAAUGAACUGGAGAAGGAAAUGGCAAACCACUCCAGUAGCUUUGCCAAGGAAAUCCCAAAUGGACUCACAAAGAGUUGGACAUAGCUAAAAUGACUGAACGUUUAGUGUUUAUCUAACAGAGAGCAUGCAAAACCACAAACAUGUACUUAAUAGAACAGAUUUGGCAUUGGGGCAAGGAAGAACUCUGAUACAGAAGAGGGAAAGGUCCCUUCUAAUAAUCCAAGACCCUUGCUUUCCAUGGUUCCUUGAUCUCCUAUUGCAAGGGUCCCUCAUCCUCUGGCAUUAGAAAUCCCAAGAAAAUGAGGAAAGGCUCAAAUGACAUUGACAAGGAUGUUGUUGCUGACCCUGUGAGAUAUGAGUGCUCUCUGGGCAUGACAUACCAGGCAACUUCCAGCACAGUUAAGUACACAAGAAUCCCCAGAUGUAUACAUAAACCAACAAAAACAAAUGCAAAGGGAAACUAUGUGGGAACGCCAGACCUUUGAAGCUGCCUUUCUGCCUUCAAUAGGUUAUUUAAUACUUUCUUACUGGUUUCUUCAGAGGCAUAUGUGCUCUUGCCCAGAUGUGGCUACUAGGAAUGGAGGCAAGGAGUAAGUGGAGGUGGAUAAACCACAAUAGGAAGAAAUAAGACCAGAGCAAAAGAGACUUCAUUAUUGCUUGUUCUGACUCUAGUGGAAUACUAACUACCAAGAUCUUGCCUACAUUUGUUUGCUCUGAAUAAACAUCUCUACUAGAUGUAGAGUUGGAAGGGAUCUCAGAAUUUAUUUAGUAUAAAUAAUCCCCAUAUUUUCCAGAUGAGGAAAAUGAGACCCAUUCAAGGAGAAGCAGUUUCUUAUCUAAGUAGUAAAUUCUUUCUGAAUAAAUAGGUGGAUGUAGGAUGGAUGCCUCCUGUCCUUCUACAAUUUCCCCAUCCUGUAAACUUUUACUCUUCUCUAACUCACCCUUGGCACUGCCUUAUAUUAAACCAAGAUAAUGAACAUUGAUUACUCAUUCAGUGUCCUUUGUCUGUAGACAGAAACAGGCUUAAAAUUAGGUUCUCUGACUUCAAAUCGAGUUCUCUUUCCACUAUAUAUCAGCGUCCCCUAGAGAUCUAGAAGUACUAUUGGCUAAUGACCAUGAACCCUAAUCUCUUCCUGUAACCUAAGGUCUUUCUUUGUCUGAACCACCUCCACCAGUUCACAUACAUGUUCAAUCAUUCUUGCCCUCUCCUAUCUGAGUGUGAGUUUCCCAAUAUCCCCUAUCCUUAAUGUGAUACUUUCCCUUAGCACCUAGAUUCCCAGCUACUUAUUUUAUGUUUUCUAUCACCUUUGCUAUUACUUUACUUAAUGAUUUAAUGUCAGUUAAUGUCUUUUUACACUGUAACCACUUCUCCCUAACACACAUCUUUCUGAAAUCUUGUGAUGAUAUUCCUAGGCUUCCCACAUUCUACUUCUGGUAGUGAAAUCUCUGGCAAAGAAACAUGUAAUUCACUGUAAGACAUCCUCCUUGUUCAUAGAGAGGUGCUACUGUACAUACAGAUUAAAUGCAAAUCCAUAGGCAAUUCUACUCAAAGAUCUCCUAGUUCUCUCAUUCACCUGGAUGUGAAGAUCAGAAAAAGGCUCAGAGACUCUCCUGUUUGACAAGCUACCAAAACCAGCCUCUAGGCAUGAAUACAAAAUCUUAACUGGCAAAGCAUCAACUAAGAGUGGGAAUGGAAGGGACCAGUUUGUUCUCAUGAGAAAAACAACAUGGUGGGAAGUAUUUAAAAACUCAAUAGACUGGCUAGUUUUCAGAGAAGAAUGUUCAGAGGUUUUUAGCAACACCAGGUUUGAAAUACAUGUCUGUUUGCAAAAGCUAAAAUCAAUGGAUAAAUUUCAGUUGUCUAUAGACAGAGUGCAUUGUAUGAGUAAUUAUUGUUCGUUAUCUUGAUUCAGAGGUAGGGAUGGGGUAGAGAUAAGUGAAUGAGACAAGUUUACAGGAUGGGGAAAUCCCAAAUGGACAGGAGGCAUCCAUCUUAUGCCCAUAAAUUCAUUCAGAAAAUAUUUACCAACUAUCAAUUUUGUGCAAGACACUGAGCUGGGUACAAGAUGGUAGUCAAAAACAAAUAAGAUAUAGUUAGGGCUUAGUGAAUAAAGUCAAGCUUAGAGACAGGAGGUCCUAGGUUCAAAUCUUAUCUCAGACACUUCCUAGCUAUGUAACCCUAAGCAAAUAACAACCCUAAUUGCCUAGCCCUUAUUGCUCUUCUGUCAUGGAACUGAUAACUAGUAUUGAUCUAAGACAGAAGGUGAGGAUUUUUAAUUAUAAUAACAAUAAAAAGAAAACAUGGUCCAUGAGAAAUGAAAGAUAAUGCAUUCUUUCCAUAAACGGAUCUUUUGAAGGAACUAGAGGUUUUCAACCUAGAAGAAGAGAAAGAAGAUUCAAGAUUGAGGCAAUAAUAGGGAUAUGAUUGAGGAUGUAGACUCUAAAUGAUCACCCUGGUGCAAAUAUCAAUAAUAUAGAAAUAGGUCUUGAUCAAUGACAUGUAAAACCCAGUGGAAUCGCAUGUUUGCUAUGGGGGGGGCGGGAAUGAAGGGAAGGAAAGAACAUGAAUCAUGUAGCCAUGAAAAAAUAUUCAUUUUUUAAACCCUUACCUUCCAUCUUGGAGUCAAUACUGUGUAUUGACUCCAAGGCAGAAGAGUGGUAAGGGAUAGGCAACGGGGGUUAAGUGACUUGCCCAGGGUCACACAGCUGGGAAGUUUCUGAGGCCAGAUUUGAACCCAGACCUCUAGGCCUGGCUCUCAAUCCACUGAACUACCCAACUGCCCCCUCAUGGAAAAAUAUUCUAAAUUAAUUAAUUAAAUAAAAUUUUUCAUUAAAAAAAAGAUUGAGGCAAUAACUAACCAAGUAUUUUAAGAGUUUUCACUUGGAAUUAGAUUUAUUCUGCUUUACCUCAAAAUGCAAACUGAGAGAAAUCCUUUAAAGCUACUAAGAGAUAAAGUUAGGUUUUAUGUUAGGAAAAAAGAUUUCUUCAUAAUUAGAGUUGUCCAAAGUAAAACGCCCUGCCUUAGUGUGGUAGUGGGUUUCCUCUCCCUGGAGACCCAUAAGCUUGGAUGAUCACUUAUUAGGUACAUUAUAGAGAGGGUCUUUUUUAAGUAUAUGUUGGAUUUGAAGGCCUCCAAAGUUCAUUUAAACUGUAAUUAUGGGAUUAUGUUAUGGGCCCUCCUUGUGAGUAGCUUCUAAUCUCAUUGGGGAGAUGACAUAUAUGAAAAUAUCUAUAAUGAGAGACUGAGAAUUCUAAAUAAAAAGAGUUAUCCCUUCUCUUUGCCAAGGACAACUCCUAUGUUUACAUUCUUUAUUCCAUUCCCUUCCAUAGUUAGUAGUAGUCUCUCGGUAACCGAGGAUGACGAUUGUCUUUGUGUGCUUUCAUCUGUGAUGUAGAUGAGUGUGCACAAAAACACUUGUGUGUGAAGGAGAUUUAAGUGGAAAAGCCAAUGCACAGACAGUCCCACUCUCUCGGCAUUGGAAGCCUGGGUCCAAUGGCACGAAAAGUCGUUACACCUGGAGACUUCCUCAGCUGCAUUGGAUGGCCGUGUUGUCUUUUGUGCUCCAACACACCCUAAGCACUCCACAGUGCUUUGCUGCGUUGCCCUCUCAGCCGUUGAACCUUCUUAUUGGUUUCUUCCAUCUGUUCAGCCGAAGCAGUCUUCACAUGCUGGGUGAGCAAAGCCCUGGUACACCAAGGGUAGACGACCUGAUGGCUACCCUCACAAGGUUUAGCCAGCCUGUCGAAGCCUUUCCAUAUUCCCCAUCCAAUUGCCUACAUUGUCAGAUCCCUCUCUCUUUAAUUCUCAAUCUCUCUUUAUGUUAUUGGUCACUUCUCUGCUCCUUAAGAACACACCUAAAUCUCCAAUUUUUAAAAAUUCUUCACUAGUUCUUAUGAUUCCUACUAGCUGUCAUCCUAUGUAUCUCCUCAUCUUAACAGAUAAGUCCCUUGAAAAUGCCAUCUACACUUAGUGGCCCUACUUCCUUCCCUCUCAUCUUCUAAAUUCCUUGGAAUUUGACUUCUCAUCUCAUCAUUCAACUGAUAUGACUCUCUCCAAAGUGAACAAUUAUCUCUCAAAUGCAAGAGACUAUUCACCCCCGAUGACUUUCCUUCAAAGCUGUAUCUCUAUCUCAGGAAAUUAUACCAACCUGACUUCACAAAGAUCUUAAGGUCUUCUGCGACUUAGAUCCAUAGACCUGAGCCUCAAUCCUUGAAGAAACUUUAGGUAGAAAAUAGGAUAGGGAUUUCCUAUUUCCCUCUUCCCUAACAUGCCUUUCCAGACUUAUCAACUAAUAAAUAGAUCUUAUAACUUAAAGAAGAACUAGACAUAUUUUCUUCAAUUAUAUUGAGGGGAUCACAGAUAACAAUCAUCCAAAGAAAAGAACAGAAACCAGAGAUUGAAGAGGAUUUCCUCUUACCUUUCAGCUCUGGAAAGAGAUCCAGAUUCACUUUCUCUGAGGCUACUCUGUCUGGGAGAGGAAAUAAUGUUUCUCUUUAUCUGUUCCCUCCCUCUCAGAGACCUGUCAAGCUUUGGUUCCUGAUCCCUGGCUAGUAAAGCAACAAUUGCCAUUCUUUGUCCACAUCUCCCAUAAAUAUCCCUAUUUUUCCACUCACACAGGUACUAUACAUAUUUAGAACUUCAUUACCUCUUGCUUGGACAACUAAAAUGUCCUUCUAACUGAUUAUC